CGCGGGAUAGAGCAGCGGUAGCUCGUGAGGUUCAUUCCCUCAAAGUCGUGGGUUCGAUUCCCACUCCCGCAA
rnacentral:tRNA from 1 species